ACGAACGCUGGCGGCGUGCUUAACACAUGCAAGUCGAACGGAAAGGCCCUGCUUUUGUGGGGUGCUCGAGUGGCGAACGGGUGAGUAACACGUGAGUAACCUGCCCUUGACUUUGGGAUAACUUCAGGAAACUGGGGCUAAUACCGGAUAGGAGCUCCUGCUGCAUGGUGGGGGUUGGAAAGUUUCGGCGGUUGGGGAUGGACUCGCGGCUUAUCAGCUUGUUGGUGGGGUAGUGGCUUACCAAGGCUUUGACGGGUAGCGGGCCUGAGAGGGUGACCGGCCACAUGGGGACUGAGAUACGGCCCAGACUCCUACGGGAGGCAGCAGUGGGGAAUAUUGCACAAUGGGCGGAAGCCUGAUGCAGCAACGCCGCGUGCGGGAUGACGGCCUUCGGGUUGUAAACCGCUUUCGCCUGUGACGAAGCGUGAGUGACGGUAAUGGGUAAAGAAGCACCGGCUAACUACGUG
rnacentral:rRNA from 1 species